UGCCGCAGACCCGAAACCGGGUGAGCUAUCCAUGGCCAGGCUGAAGCGGGGGUAAGACCUCGUGGAGGGCCGAACCGACCUGGGUUGAAAACCGGGCGGAUGAGCUGUGGAUAGGAGUGAAAGGCUAAUCAAACCCGGCGAUAUCUGGUUCUCCCCGAAAUAUAUUUAGGUAUAGCCUGGCGCGUUUCGUCGCGGGUGUAGAGCACUGUUUGGGCGCGGGGCCCCACAAGGUUACCAACCUCAGACAAACUCCGAAGACCGUACUGACGUGAGAGCGCCGGAGUCAGGGACGCGGGGAUAAACUUGUGUUCCGAGAGGGAAACAACCCAGACCGUCGGCUAAGGUCCCUAAAUAACGGCUAAGUGGUUUAAAGGAUGUGGCGCUGCACAGACAACCAGGAUGUUGGCUUAGAAGCAGCCAUCAUUUAAAGAGUGCGUAAUAGCUCACUGGUCAAGUGGUGUUGCGCCGAAAAUUCUCGGGCCUAAAAGUCGUUUACCGAAGCCACGGACUUUGAACCUAGUUCAGAGUGGUAGGGGAGCAUCCUGUAACGAGCGAAGCGGCGGCGUAAGCCGGCCGUGGACGGAUCAGGAGAGAGAAUGCUGGCAUGAGUAACGAGAGACAGGCGAGAAACCUGUCCGCCGAAAGCCCAAGGGUUCCUGGGUAAAGCUAAUCUUCCCAGGGUCAGUCGGGACCUAAGCCGAGGACGAAAGUCGUAGGCGAUGGACAGCAGGUGGACAUUCCUGCACCACGAACGCAGCGUUCGAGCGAUGGAGGGACGGAGAAGGGUAGGCCAACCGUGGCGCUGGUAGACCACGGGCCUUGCCGUAGGCCGGGGACCAGGAAAAUCCGGGCCCCACACAAGGCUGAGGGCCGGGCCGAGCCCACUUAGGGCGUAGUGGCCGAUCCCAUGCUUCCAGGAAAAGCUUCUAAGCGAGUUGCGUGCGCGCCCGUACCAAAACCGACACAGGUGGGCGAGUGGAGAACACUAAGGCGAUCGAGCGAACUAUGGUUAAGGAACUCGGCAAAUUGUCCCCGUAACUUCGGGAGAAGGGGAGCUCUGGACGGUGUAGGGCCUUGCGCCCCAAGCUGUUCGGAGCCGCAGAGAAUAGGCCCAGGCGACUGUUUACCAAAAACACAGGUCUCUGCUAAGUCGAAAAGACGAUGUAUAGGGGCUGACGCCUGCCCAAUGCCAGAACGUUAAGGAAGCCGGUUAGCCUUGCCCUUCGGGGCCUGGCGAAGCUGGCGACCGAAGCGCUGGUCAAUGGCGGCCGUAACUAUAACGGUCCUAAGGUAGCGAAAUUCCUUGUCGGGUAAGUUCCGACCUGCACGAAUGGCGUAACGACUUGGGCGCUGUCUCAACGAGGGGCUCGGUGAAAUUGCAGUCUCGGUGAAGAUGCCGAGUACCCGCGGAAAGACGGAAAGACCCCGUGAACCUUUACUAUACCCUGGCAUUGGAUGCUGACACACCUUGUGCAGGAUAGGAGGGAGGCUGUGAAGCCGGGACGCUAGUCUCGGUGGAGCCGUCCUUGAGAUACCUCCCUGGGUGUGUUGGUGUUCUAACCCCGCGCCGUGAUCCGGGUGGGGAACAGUGUCAGGCGGGUAGUUUGACUGGGGCGGUCGCCUCCCAAAAAGUAACGGAGGCGCCCAAAGGUUCCCUCAGCACGGUCGGAAAUCGUGCGCAGAGUGUAAACGCACAAGGGAGCUUGACUGCGAGAGAGACAUCUCGAGCAGGGACGAAAGUCGGGGUUAGUGAUCCGGCGGUAACGAGUGGAAGUGCCGUCGCUCAACGGAUAAAAGGUACUCCGGGGAUAACAGGCUUAUAGCCGCCAAGAGUUCACAUCGACGCGGCUGUUUGGCACCUCGAUGUCGGCUCGUCGCAUCCUGGGGCUGGAGUAGGUCCCAAGGGUUGGGCUGUUCGCCCAUUAAAGCGGUACGCGAGCUGGGUUCAGAACGUCGUGAGACAGUUCGGUCCCUAUCUUCCGUGGGCGUUGGAGAUUUGAGAGGAGCGACUCCUAGUACGAGAGGACCGGAGUGGACGUACCUCUGGUGUACCGGUUGUCCUGCCAAGGGCACCGCCGGGUAGCUAUGUACGGAAGGGAUAACCGCUGAAAGCAUCUAAGCGGGAAGCUCGCCUCGAGAUGAGAUCUCCCAUCCCCAUGAGGGAGUAAGACUCCUGGUAGACCACCAGGUUGAUAGGCCACAGGUGUAAGUGCAGCGAUGUAUGUAGCCGAGUGGUACUAAUAAGUCGAGGGCUUGAUGU
rnacentral:rRNA from 1 species